UGAAUUGUUUUUAUUUAAAAAUUUAGACGUAAGCCAAAAAAAAUUGCCAUCUAUGAGGGUCUGAAUUAAUUUAUAGCUCUUCUUUAUUCCCACUGCAUUUCUGCAGUAUCUCCAUCGAAGUCCUUAGCACACCUGUGCUAAUUACCCACUCAGGUCUGCCUCACGUAGGCAACCUGUACUUCUUGAUGGUUGGAGUCACAUCUUGUUAAUUCCACAAUCUCAGAAGCAGCUACUACAAUCCAACUAAUAUGCAGUACAUGCUUGUCAAAGUUUACUGAACUGCCAGGCCAGCCUCAGCAACUUAGUGAGGCCCUAAGAAACUUUGUGAGACCCCAUCUCCAAAUAAAAAAUAAAACAGGAGAGGAAUAUGGCUCAGUGGUUAAUUGCUCCUGGGUCCAAUCUCUACUACCCGUCCCCCCCCCACAAAAAAAAAAAAAAGUUUACUAGACUGAAGCAAUAAUUUCCCUGCUAAUGCUGUGGCUCAUUAAAGGUCACAGCAAGGUCUGCUCUGGAGAGUGGACAAUUAUAUUUGCUAUUCCCAGGCCAGUUGGUAGUUGUUAUUAUAGAAGACACCCAUCAUUGACAUCUUCUAUAAUCUUGUGAGGAGAAAUUUAAGUUGAUUCUGAAAAGUAAACAUACAUAUUCCUUAAUGCAUACAUUUAUUUAUCUAUUU
rnacentral:lncRNA from 1 species